AUGGAAACUUUCAGGCAAGUGCCCGUUUAUUUGGUAUUUGUUUUGUUCGCUUUAGAAAUAUCUCACUGUGAUCUCGUAGCAUAAUUCAUAAUUCGCUAAUGUAAGAGCAAGAGCAGCUGCACUCCUACUAGGGCAAGUUAACUACCUCGAUCGCGUCCCGUGUGACUAAUGUUUGUCAAAUUUACAUCGGGCGUGGUGCGCCUGCAUAGUUACGCUUUGUUUCUCAGCGCUUGAAUGUUCAUUGAUGUGAUUCUCUUGUGCGUUCAGCGCGGCUGCUUGUAAUACGGUCGUUCGCACUUCAGUUAAAUGUGGUCGACCACUUUUGCGUCGCGUAGAAAAGGACUGGCUUAGCCACCUUUCGAAGGAACCGGCGCGGUAUUGGUUCUCCCUGAUGCGGUCGCGUGCUGCUGUUGCUGCUUGCCGGACGCCUUCAGCAUUUUAUCGGCUCGCUUUGUCUGUGCGUGUGCGCGUGCUCGCGCUCGGCUUGAUUUGUGUGUGCGUGCGUGCGUGUGUGCGCUCAGCUCAGCUCGCUUUGUGUGUGUGUGUGUGUGCGUGUGUGCGCGCGCGCGCGUGCGUUCAGUACAUGCCGGUUUGUAUGGGCCGGCGUGUUUGCGCGUGUCUAGUGCGUACGUGUUUUGUGAGUGUGUUGUCUGUGGGUCGCUGUGUGUGCGUGCACGUGUUAGCGUGUCUGCCUGCAUGCAUGUAUGUGUGCUUGUUUGUGUUCAUCAAUGUGCGCGUGCGCGCUUUUGUGUCUGCGCUUUGAGAGUGCGUAUACUUGUGUGUGCGUGUGGAUGCGUUUUGUGUGCGUGCGUAUGUAUUGCAUGAGGCCGGUAGAGUUUUACUCGCAAUAAAACUCUUCCGAUUUGGUGCAGCGAGUGUUCCCGCCUGAAAGCCGAGUUUGGUUUCAAGCCACCCUGGACAACUGCUGUAUGAGGCGCCGUUUCUCGGGAGGACCAGUGGGAAGGCGCCAAGUCAUGCAGAUGGUAGCAGCGAUUUCACAAUGCCCAGCCUUGGCGCCCCCCAUCAAGAGCAAGCCACUUGCGUUCGCCUUCAGACAGAUGGUUAACGUCUUCUUGAAAGCGGUUGAGAAGACAACAUUGCUGCAAGAUUCCAGCAAUGCCAUGCGCUGCAUUUAUUGGUCAAGAUGCUCAGAGAAUGGAGUCCCUGCACCUCGUGGUUAACCGUGAACAUUUCUUUUUCUUUUGGAAAGCUAAAGGCCAUUUGCUGCAUCACUUGCAUUUUUGCAGCUCAGAUGUGUACUAUAUUUUUCUAAUUUUGAAUCAAUAUUGGCUAUUCAGUAUAAAAAAUGACGUACAGCGUGAAGGACAAGGACUGCGAGAGACACACUCCACUGACUUUCAACAAUAUUUUAUUGCGUUGCCACAUCGUGUGUGUAUACACAGAGGGGUCAUGCGCAGAAAAUGAAAGCCAGACACAAGGGGUGUUCUAACAGCAAGUCAUUGUAAAAAGAACAUGGUCACUUGAAAAAAAAAACAUCACAAUUUCUAUCUGUUUAGAUACAAAAUUUCACUAGGGGUCAGCGUGAUAGAGGGGGCACUAACGCACACACUACCCAGUUUUCUGGUGAAAUCAGCUUCAAUAAUUUACCGGGUGAGCUGUGUCUCGCUAAAACUUCCGUAUCUUAAAGAGGGGCAUGCAGCCGCAGUCCCGGCAAUGAAUGCCCAAGUGGCCUUGAACAGUGUUAUGGACGUUGUUAUAGUGCUCUCUUAAACGAUCAUUUAGGCGCCUGCCUAUCUGUCCAAUAUAUUUACUGCCUCAAAAUGGGAAUUUGGGAAACCACAUUCGUUGCACACAUCGCAAAACGUUUUCUGUGCUCGGCAGAGCAACAACUCUGACGUGAUUUAGGCGCGUUUACACACUUACAGAGCCUUGCCAGCUUUUCCGGGGCUGAGAAAAGGACUGUGAUUUCUGCAGGUCCCCUAAUCUUUUUUAGCCUAUGGGAGACAUCAUGAACAUACGGUAGCACUGCAAACCUGUGUCUUUCAACCGGCUGGUUCCUUGACCGAGCGUGCUCAUCAUGUUUUGUGCACUUCAGAAGCUGUUCCGCUAUGGCUGAAAUUAAGGCCAAAGGGUAGCCAACCCAAGAAAGGCAAUCAGCCUGUGCAGCAACGCUAUGUUGCAUCUCUUGUGAGCAAGAUUUAUUGAGGCUGUUAAGGAGGCAAAGCUUCACAAUAUCUCAUUUGACUUUGUUGGACAGACAGGCAGGCGCCUAAACAAUCAUUUAGGAGAGCACGAUAACAACGUCCAUAACACUGUUCAAGGCCACUUCGGCAUCCAUUGCUGGGACUGCGGCUGCAUGCCCCUCUUUGAAGGU